rnacentral:rRNA from 1 species
UAACCGUGCAAAGGUAGCAUAAUCAAUUGGCUUUUAAUUGAAGUCUGGAAUGAACGGAUUAAUGGGGACUUGCUGUCUCUUAAUAAUUACUUUGAAAUUAUUUAUUAAGUGAAAAUACUUAUAAUUAGAAAAAAGACGAGAAGACCCUUAGAAUUUUUAAUAAAACAUAAAUAAAUGUUAUUUUUUUGUUGGGGCGACAUUGAAACAAUAAAACUUUCUUUAUUUCAUGACAUUAAGGUUUGAAAGAGUAAAUUCCUUAGGGAUAACAGCAUAAUUAAUAAAUUAGUUUGUGACCUCGAUGUUGGACUAGGAACUAGUGACUAGCAGUCAAAAUAGAUUGUUCUGUUCGAACAGAAAUCCCUACAUGAUCUG